AUCUAAAUAUUCAAUUAUGAUUUUAAAUUGCAAAUUUAAAGGUAAAUAUAUAAAUUUUUUAGAUU
rnacentral:tRNA from 1 species